AUUGAACGCUGGCGGCAUGCCUUACACAUGCAAGUCGAACGGUAACAGGUUAAGCUGACGAGUGGCGAACGGGUGAGUAAUGUAUCGGAACGUGCCCAGUCGUGGGUGAUAACUGCUCGAAAGAGCAGCAAAUACCGCAUACGAACUGAAUGGGGAAAGCGGGGGACCGUAAGACCUCGCGCGAGUGGAGCGGCCGACGUCUGAUUAGCUAGUAGGUGAGGUAAAGGCUCACCUAGGCGACGAUCAGUAGCGGGUCUGAGAGGGUGAUCCGCCACACUGGGACUGAGACACGGCCCAGACUCCUACGGGAGGCAGCAGUGGGGAAUUUUGGACAAUGGGCGAAAGCCUGAUCCAGCCAUGCCGCGUGUCUGAAGAAGGCCUUCGGGUUGUAAAGGACUUUUGUCAGGGAGGAAAUCCCUAGUGCUAAUAACACUGGGGGAUGACAGUACCUGAAGAAUAAGCACCGGCUAACUACGUGCCAGCCGCCGCCGUAAUAC
rnacentral:rRNA from 1 species